UACGUAGGGAGCAAGCGUUGUCCGGAAUCAUUGGGCGUAAAGCGCGCGUAGGCGGCCCCGUAAGUCCGCUGUGAAAGUCAAAGGCUCAACCUUUGAAAGCCGGUGGAUACUGUGGGGCUAGAGUCCGGAAGAGGCGAGUGGAAUUCCUGGUGUAGCGGUGGAAUGCGCAGAUAUCGGGAAGAACACCCGUGGCGAAGGCGGUUCUCUGGGACGGUACUGACGCUGAGACGCGAAAGCGUGGGGAGCGAACAGG
rnacentral:rRNA from 1 species